AGUGAACGCUGGCGGCAGGCCUAACACAUGCAAGUCGAGCGGCAGCGCGUCCGACCACCCUCGGGUGGUCGGAUGGCGGCGAGCGGCGGACGGGUGAGGAAUGCAUCGGAAUCUGCCUCGUUGUGGGGGAUAACGUAGGGAAACUUACGCUAAUACCGCAUACGACCUACGGGUGAAAGUGGGGGACCUUCGGGCCUCACGCGAUGAGAUGAGCCGAUGCCGGAUUAGCUAGUUGGCGGGGUAAAGGCCCACCAAGGCGACGAUCCGUAGCUGGUCUGAGAGGAUGAUCAGCCACACUGGAACUGAGACACGGUCCAGACUCCUACGGGAGGCAGCAGUAAGGAAUAUUGGACAAUGGCCGCAAGGCUGAUCCAGCCAUGCCGCGUGCAGGAAGACGGACCUAUGGUUUGUAAAACUGCUUUUGAACGGGAGAAAACCCCCCUACGUGUAGGGGCUGAUAGUACUGUUAGAAUAAGCAUCGGCUAACUUCGUGCCAG
rnacentral:rRNA from 1 species